rnacentral:rRNA from 1 species
AACGAACGCUGGCGGCAUGCUUAACACAUGCAAGUCGAACGAGACCUUCGGGUCUAGUGGCGCACGGGUGCGUAACGCGUUGGAACCUGCCCUUAGGUUCGGAAUAACUCCCCGAAAGGGGUGCUAAUAUCGGAUAAUGUCUUCGGACCAAAGAUUUAUCGCCUUUGGUUGGGCCCGCAUUGGAUUAGCUAGUUGGUAGGGUAAAAGCCUACCAAGGCGACGAUCCAUAGCUGGUCUGAGAGGAUGAUCAGCCACACUGGGACUGAGACACGGCCCAGACUCCUACAGAAGGCAGCGGUGGGGAAUAAUGGACAAUAGGCGAAAGCCUGAUCAAGCGAGGCCGCGUAAGUGAUGAAGGCCUUAGGGUUGUAAAGCUCUUUUACCCAGGAAGAUAAUGACAGAACCGGGAGAAUAAACACCGGCUAACUCCGUG